rnacentral:lncRNA from 1 species
UCUUCUUUGUUUGGCAGUUGAAAGUUUACCUUAGGGUUUGAUUGCUUCCGAUUCGAAUAUGUUCUUUUUCCCGGGUUUUGAAAAGAACAAUGGAGUGAGACUGUAAGUCUGUAACUCCUUCAGGGAGUAUUAGGUGAAUUAAAAUUUGGUUAUCGGCUCAAUUUAUAGUGCAAUACCUUCUCCAUUUUAAAAUGACUAAAAUCCAAUUUGUUACCCUAUACUUUUCCUCAAAAAUCGAUUUGCACCCUAAAAUAUUUUUUCGAUUAAAUGCAUCCUAAACUUAAUCCCAGGCUAUUAUCCUCUCAUUUUUCCGCCCAAAUCUUCACCAAGAGUUUGAUGACAUCAUAGAGUCAGGAGCAUUAUAGUCACAUCACCUCAAUUUUUUAAUGGUUAUUUUAUUUCCACACACUUGGGAGUUUGGGAUGAAAUAACAAACCCUAAUUCCCAAAUUAGUCAUGCUAAACUUCACUGCGAUGAAAUUUGAGAGGUAAGUCGCGAUUGUUCUUGUUUUCUUCUUCAUCAUCUCCAAUUCUCCAUAAAUUGAUCGCUUUUCAUAAAUAAGAUGAGCGAUCGUGUCAAUUUCUUAGAGAUAGAGUCGAUCAUGAUGCAUAUGUUCCAAUGGAGGGUCGUGAUUAUGGUAAGUCUGGUAAUUUAACAACAUUAAUCUCUUUUUUUAUUGCUAAUGAGUUUGAAGUAAACAAAUAUGAGUUUUUCCUUAUGUAUCUUUUGCUUUGUGUGUUAAAUGGAAUAUGGGUUUUUUUUUUGUAGUUUUUUUAAACUGGAAAUAUGGUGAUCCUAUUUUUUCUUUAUAAUAUGUGUGAUUGUGUUUGUAGUGGAUUUUAAGUGUUUCGUUAUUAAAUACUUUCAUGGUAGGUAAUUUAUAAAAGAACCAAGUUUAGAUUAUGUGGAGAUAAAUUUGAUUAUUAUGAUAUGUGUCAUCCAGAUAUUAUGUCUGAUUGAAUUUCGUGCAAUAUCUAAACCAUUUGGAUUUAUUGGUGGUAUAUUUGAGUUUAAGUAUAAAAUACCUAAGACUGAUAUAGAAAGGGGGAUAUUUACAUUAGAUACAAAUGAUGAUAUGAUGGUUAUGUGUGCAUUGAUUCUUAAUAAUAGGAUGAUGGAAGUUUACUUACUUUAUACACCAGUUGUUGACCCCCUUAUUCCAAAUAUGGUAGAUGAAGUAGAGCCACUGACUCUUAAUAUGUGAAGUAGAGGCAGAGCCCCAAACUGAAAUAGAGUAUGAGGGGAAUUAUGAAACAAAGAAUGAGGAUCAGUGUGAGGCUGAAAAGGUGCAUUUUGAAAGGGGUGAAUAGAUGCAUUGUCAAACAAAUGAUGAAAAAAUGGGCAAUUGUGAAACAAAAGGGGAUGAAUCCAAUUAUGAAGACCAAACAUUUACCUUACCACAUUUUUCUGAUAGCUCAUGAUGUUAUAUUUUUUGAAAUGUGGAUGAGCAUAAAGAGAUUAAAAAUGAACUUUGGGAUAUGGAUGAUGGUGUAGAUGAUGAGGUAUUAAGUGAGUUUUUGAGCAAAUAAAAUAGGCUAAUAAGAUGUAUGAGGGGGAUAACUCAAGGAUAAUAGAAAAUAUAGAAGUUGAUAUUUUAUCUGAAAACCUUGAUAACUCAUAAGAUGAAAGGAUUGUAUGGUUAGAGGAUGAUAAUGAUGAGAGAAGCAAACAACCUGAAUUUGAUGCACAAAAUGACAUGGAUGACUCAAAAUUUUCAAUAGGGAUGACAUUCAGUAGUGGGCUUGAACUUAUAAUGUCAAUAAGGUCCCAUACAGUGAAAAAUAAGAGGAAAAUUACCUUUAAAAAUUAUUUGUCCAACAAGAUACAAGUUAUUUGUGAGCCCAUUGCCAUUUCUAUUUGUAUGCAGCAAUUAAAGUUACAGAGAGAGGAUACCUUCAAUAUUACAAGAAUCAUAAAGGAUCACACAUGUAGCAGGGAGUGGAAUAUUGGACCUGCUCUAACUUCAUCUUGGUUAGCUAGCAAGUAUAAGGUUAACUUUAGACUCGAUCCAAAAUGGGAUGUAGAUGCAUUUCAUGUCAAAGUUGUGAAUGACUUAUAGAUUGAAGUAAAAAGAAGUAUAGCAUAUAGAGCAAAGGUAAAGGCUUUGAAAAUGAUUGAAAGACAUCAUGGAGAUCAAUUUGAGAGACUUUUGGACUAUGGUGCAGAGGUUCAAAAGAAGAUGUCAGGUAGGUCAUUUAUUGUGAAGAGGGUAUACCUUAUGUUGGGUGAGAACUUUGGUAGAUUCAAAAUAGUGUAUGUAUAUUUACAACCAUUAAAAGUGGGAUUCACUACAGGUUGUAGACCUUUAAUUGGUUUGGGUGGAUGUUUCUUAAAAGGACCAUUUGGGAGGCCAUUAUUGACUGUUAUUGAGAUUGAUCCCAACAAUGAUUUACAUCCAUUUGUUUGAGCCGUGGUGGAGUUAGAAAAUACAGAAAAUUGGGCAUGGUUUUUAUAGUCACCUGUAUAAGAUAUCAACAUAGUUAAUUAGUUUAGUUGGACAUUUAUCUUUAGCAAGCAAGAUGUACAUGUUCUUAUAUCUUAUUUCUUUAUUAUGUUUUUUUCUUUUAGCAUUGCUCUUAUAUCUUGCUAUGCUGAGUAUUAAUUUUUAUGUAUUAAAUAUGCAUCCAGGUUUGAUUAGGGCACUUGAAACUGUUGUACCAAAUGUUGAGCAUAUAUUUUGUGUUAUGCAUAUGUACAAGAACUUCGGAAAAAAUUAUAAAGGCUCAGGGUUAAGGCAUCUUAUGUGGGAUUGUGCUAGGGAUAAUAACAAUUUCAUGUUCAAAAGGGUCAUGAAGAAACUGUGUGAUACAAAUAAAGGGGCACAUGAUUGGGUGGCUGAGAGACUUGCUCUACAUUGUAGUAUAACUUUUUUUAGAACUUUUUUUAGGAAUAACCAUUGUGAGGUUUUCAAUAGCAAGAUUGGUAAGGUAGGAAAUUAACUUAUAAUAACAUGUAUUGAAAUCAUUAGAAGAUAUUGUAUGGUUAGGAUUCAAAAAAGAUACUCGAAACAGUUGUCUAGGAACACAUUUUUAUGUCCCAGACCAAUGAAAAAAUUAAACAAGGCAGUUGAGAGGUCAUCAGAAGCAAUUCAUGAUUGGAAUGGGGAUAAAUAUGGGGUAACUACUACUUCAGGGGAUCAUGUACUUGUAGUUAAUUUGAAGAGCAAGACAUGUGAGUGUAGGAAGUGGGACUUAACUAGCAUACCUUGCUUUCAUGUUGUGGCAUGUAUUUUUAAUCAACAACAAAAUCUUUUACAAUAUGUACACAAAUGUUACACCAGAGAAAUGUAUUUAAAGGUAUAUGAGCACUUCAUUGAGCCACUGGUUGAAGACUGACCAGAAAUUGGGCUUGAGUCGGUCAAACCACCUAUAAUCUUAACUCCUUUUGGCAGACCUAGAAAGGUUAGAAGAAAGACUAAUGAUGUUCUCUCUGCAUCAACCCCAACUGAAAGUGCUACAACAAAACUCAAAAGGAUUGGAGCAUCACUAAGGUGUGGUUUUUGUAAGGACUGGGGACACAACACAAGGACUUGUCAUAAGGUAUGGAGCAUAUUAUGUAUUGUUUAUCAAAUUGUCAUGUUAUUUGUAUAAUGUUAUAACUUCUAGCAAUGUGCAUAAAAAAAUGGAGGACAAUCAAUAUGGAAGUGUUGAGGGAAUCAAUGUUGGGGGAUCCAACGCUGAGGGAACCAAUGUUGAGCCACAAAUUUCUCAAACACAAACUUGUUCACAACCCCCAAUUAGCCAAGUCACCCAAACUGCUCCUAAGCCAAAGGUACCUCAUGUGAAUUAAUUAAAAUUUCAUUAUAUUUAAUUUUCUUUAAUUGAUUUGUAAUUUUCUCACUUUGCAUUACAUUGUUGUGUAAAAAAAAUGUCCACUACUCGUGAAAAGACACUAGUUAUAGCAACACAAGAAAUGCAGACUCCUACAAUGCCAAACAUUCCAGUGGGACAGAGGGAAUGGCAAGGUUGAGUUCACAUAGAUACUUCAAGUCAAGAAAAGAGUAGUGGAGUUACAUUUACCUAUGGGAAAAAAUGUAUCACCAGACAGUGUUUGGAAGAAUUGAGAGAAAAAAAAGAAAUCAUGUCAAUAGGAGGAUAAUUUGUGAAUUUCAUUCUACCGGGUAUAUUUUGGGAAUAAUUUUUUUAGGUUAGUUGUUUAUGAGUCCACAUAUCUUUUUGGUACAUUGUCUAUGUUUAUAUAUGAGUCCAUAAACAUGGUUUAAUUUGGAUGGGUGUAUAUUAGGAUGGAUGUAAAUUGUAGUCCACAAACAUGGUUAAAUUUGGAUGGAUGUCUAUUGUAGUCCACAAACAUGGUUGAUUAACUAUAUAUUUGGUUGAACUUUUUGGUUGUAACACAAAUAUUGUAAAAUUUGAUUCCCUUUUAUGGAUGAAUGUAAUUUGUUAUUAUGUUUUGGUAAAUUAAUCGGCU